GAAUCAUGACAUUUAUUGCUUCCACCGUAGAAUUCCUCCAAAAUGUCCAAUGAAAAGAAGUUUGAUCCAAAUGAAUUUCCCCAUUGGAGUGCUAACGAAAACAAACCCAUAUAAUUGCUCUGCACGUGAAUGAUGAAUGCAUUCUGUUUCCUUGUUAUGCGUGCUGAUAUCACAAACAGCGUAUUCUGAUUCUCUGUACUCCUUUGCCCCUACCUAUUUAUUUUAGGAUAAUCAGAUACGAAAAAGAAGACCACUACCUGGGGAGCUGGGUGAUAGUGCUGGUAAUACAUUAUUUAUGAAGAACAGAAAGGAAUCACACCUUUAUUCGACAGACACCUGAUUAAAGAAGACCCAUAACAAUGGAAUUGCAAAAAAAUCUUUCACCAGAUGCAGAGUCGCAUGCAAAGGCAGUAGUUAAGAGUAGCGGCAGCAGUAGCAGCAUUACUAGUACUAAUAGUAGAGCUAAGAAAGAGAGGGACUUUACAGAUCAUCUGGAAGCUUAUUUGGCCAGAAGGGAUGGAGUUGAUAAACUUCUCAAGAUUGCAAGGUAUUCGAGUAAAGUAAUUCUGGCGUCCUCUGUUGUCUCCAAAGAUACCUCUCUGUACAAGAGGCUUAAAGAUUUUGAGGCCAGUGUUGGUGUCAGCAGAAAAGCAUUUAGAUUGGGCAAGUUCAUACAGGACUACAAUGCCCUAAAGCAGAUUUCUUUGGAUUCAACAGAAGGAAGAUUGGGGAUUUUAGCCUAUGGAGGAGAAGGUAUUUAUUAUUUUGUGGAGCAGUUCACAUGGCUGAUCAAGGCUGGUCUCAUCGACAAGCAGUAUGCUGCCAAAUUGCAGAAGAUCAGUGCUUGGUGUGAAUUUAUAGGUUAUUGUGGAAGCAUUUCCCUGAAGAGCAUGCAGAUCUUAGCCCUAAGGGAAAAGCAGUAUGUUUUAGCAUCUGAAGGAGAAUCAAGCAUUUCGAGCAAGGACAGUGCAGAGAUCAGCCAGUUACGUGAAAAGCAGGUGCUAAAGUUGGUUUCCGUUAUACAAGACUUCGCUGAUGGUUUGAUGGCUUUGAGCGAUAUUCUUGAUGGCAAAGGAUCCAUUUCAAGUCCUCUUCUUCUUGCAAGUGCAGGGCUUCUUUCUGCUCUUAUUAGCACACACAAAAAUUGGUCGUCAUCCUGAUCUUAUUGUCAGACUGGGCCCAUAAAUGCUUUCAGCUCCUCGGACCUUUGCUUUUUUCUGCUGUGGUAUAUGGUUAAAUCUAUCUGCAAUAUCUGCAUCGCAAGGUGUUUUGAGUUGCAGUUCAGAUUGCAAAAGAUGGAGGAUGGUGUUCUCAGCAGUAGGCAGUAUGUCCAAUGGUAGAGUCAAUCAUCUUUUCAAGAGUGUAGUUUCAGACUUCAGACUUGACACAUUUGAAAUUACUAGUUUGGACUCCUUAGAGUUCGUGAAAGAAAUUUUAGGUGCAGAAGGGUUGGUAAGUAAUGAUGAAAUGUGCAUGGAUGCCUGAUUGGCUGAGACUUUGUAGCAAAGUUGGAGGCAAGAGUUGCAGAUGUGGCCAUUCGUGGGUGGAUACUACAUUCUUUACUGUCAAACUAUGAUGAAGGGUUUACAAGGAGAUUAUAGGUGCAGGAGGGUUGGCAAGUAAUGAUGAGAUGUACAUGCGUUCAUCAUUGGCCUAAGACUUUAUAGCAAAGUUGGAGGCGGGAGUUGCAGAUGUGGUCAUUUGUGGGUGGAUACUACAUUCUUUCCUGUCAAACUGUGAGGAAGGGUUUGCAAACGAUUGUUACGUGAUGGGGUAAGGACACAUCAAUGUCUAAAGAGAUGUCAGCAGGGUAUAAGGAGGUUGUAUGCCCCCUUCGAAUCACUAUGGGGAUAAGCUCUUCAUGUACCAGGAGGAUUUAUCUGUGUUCUACCAUGAUAGUGUGGUGUAUGUAAAAAACACGAGGAUGGUGGUAAGGAAAGGAAGCGUGGUGGGCGCUAGCCUCGUCUCUGGCCUCAUCAAUACUUUUGGUUAAUGGUGAUGAGUGGGCUGUUCAGAACACCAAUUUGGAGCCUAGGGUGCAAAUUGCAGAUUAUGGAACCGGGGCAUGCGAGAUUCCAGGCCCUCUCCAGCUUGUAAGGUGGUGCAGGUCUUUUUGUGUUUGGUGUGUAUUAUCUAAGUGUAUGUUUUCUUUGGUGGUUAUUUUUGUUUCUAUUGCAUCAGGCUUUGAUAUUUAGCUGCCAGUCUUAUAAACUUUUAGUCUUAAUGUAUAUUUAACUUUCAUAAAAAAUAAAUAAUUGGGUUAAAAUGUUCA